UAACGUUACUUAGUGGCGAGUUAACAGCAGUUAGCAGCAAAGACAGCAAAAAUGAAGCAAAUGUCCUUGGGGAUUUUUCCGAAAGAAGUCAGUGGCUUUCUGGUGGAAGGAGAGAGAAAAAUACAGCAACACUUGAUGAGAAGGGACAGCGACAGGAGCAGCACAUCACUUGACAGUGCAGCCAUGCCCUCUGCUGCCCCUUGGGGGUUCGGAGGAGCUGCAGCGUGUCUGUGCCCACUGACAGAGUACUGAAGGACUGUCAAGUUGCACACUCCAUAUCACAUCCCGACCCUAACCCUACUG